GAGGUAGUUUUGUUGACAACAUUCGGCAAAGACGACGGCUCUAGGUCACCUUUCUCUUGCACCGCGUAUUUGUUGGCGUCCGUUGGCCAGUAUGUGUCUGGGUGGUAAACAUGCAAUGACAAAAAUGGCGAUGUCUGAACCUAUGAAGCUUAAGCCUGGAGUGAAUUCAAUGGCAUGCACUCGUGGCUGUUCUCGUGGUUUUCUGAAAAACAAGGCUUAACCCGGAAAGAGUCAGCAUCCGCGAUGUCGUUGUUCUUCACGGAGGCAGUUUUCUGCAGGACGUCAGCGGAACCCGCUUUAUAUAACGCAAGAAGGCAGCUGCAAGGACACAAAGAUGUCAAAGAGCCAGCCCAGCGUGACUUCACGUAGUGCAGAGGAGCUCACGGCAAAGAAUCAAUAUACAUUGCCAUGCAACUUGGACAAGAAAAGUAGAAUGUGGGUAUAUUGGGUGUACAAUUUGUUUAAAUGUCAAAAAAAUGAAAAUACAGUAUGUCGCACCAAGAUGAAAAUUCUCACGUGCUCUAGGCAGUCAUCUUAACAUAGUAUAUUUAUGUAAUGUCUCUGAUGGGAAAGUCAAAAUCAAGUAUGCUCUCUGGAGACACAGUAGUAAGUGCCAUUGAAAAGUUAGAAAUUCGUUUUAAAAUAAAGCUGAUUAGUUGUGAGAA